CAGCAACGCCGCGUGCGGGACGAAGGCCUUCGGGUUGUAAACCGCUUUCAGCAGGGAAGACAUAGACGGUACCUGCAGAAGAAGCUCCGGCUAACUACGUGCCAGCAGCCGCGGUAAUACGUAGGGGGCGAGCGUUAUCCGGAUUCAUUGGGCGUAAAGCGCGCGUAGGCGGCCGCCUAAGCGGAACCUCUAAUCCCGGGGCUCAACCUCGGGCCGGGUUCCGGACUGGGCGGCUCGAGUGCGGUAGAGGCAGGCGGAAUUCCCGGUGUAGCGGUGGAAUGCGCAGAUAUCGGGAAGAACACCGAUGGCGAAGGCAGCCUGCUGGGCCGCCACUGACGCUGAGGCGCGAAAGCUGGGGGAGCGAACAGGAUUAGAUACCCUGGUAGUCCCAGCCGUAAACGAUGGACGCUAGGUGUGGGGGGACCAUCCCCCCGUGCCGCAGCCAACGCAUUAAGCGUCCCGCCUGGGGAGUACGGCCGCAAGGCUAAAAC
rnacentral:rRNA from 1 species